rnacentral:tRNA from 1 species
CGCUCCGUAUUUCAGCCAAGCAGAACGCCGGUUUCAUACGCCGGAUGCCGCAGGUGCGAAUCCUGCCGGAGCGA